rnacentral:rRNA from 1 species
GAUGAACGCUGGCGGCGUGCUUAACACAUGCCAGUCGAACGAAGCACUUUAUUUGAUUUCCUUCGGGACUGAUUAUUUUGUGACUGAGUGGCGGACGGGUGAGUAACGCGUGGGUAACCUGCCUUGUACAGGGGGAUAACAGUUGGAAACGGCUGCUAAUACCGCAUAAGCGCACGGCAUCGCAUGAUGCAGUGUGAAAAACUCCGGUGGUAUAAGAUGGACCCGCGUUGGAUUAGCUAGUUGGUGAGGUAACGGCCCACCAAGGCGACGAUCCAUAGCCGACCUGAGAGGGUGACCGGCCACAUUGGGACUGAGACACGGCCCAAACUCCUACGGGAGGCAGCAGUGGGGAAUAUUGCACAAUGGGCGAAAGCCUGAUGCAGCGACGCCGCGUGAGCGAAGAAGUAUUUCGGUAUGUAAAGCUCUAUCAGCAGGGAAGAUAAUGACGGGACCUGACUAAGAAGCACCGGCUAAAUACGU